CGCACUGCUGCAGGGAAGUACUGGACCCUCACCUCCACCGGAGGACUGCAGUGUACCGCCUCCACUAAGUCAUCUAACAGUCAUUUUGAUCUGGAGUGGUGUGAGGGGAAGGUUUCUCUCAAAGCCUCUAAUGGGAAAUACGUUGCCGCCAAGAGGAACGGACAGCUAGCUGCUACCGUCGACAACGCAGGGGAGGCGGAGCAGUUCCUGAUGAAGCUGAUCAAUCGGCCAAUCAUAGUCCUCCGUGGAGAACACGGUUUCAUUGGCUGUCGUAAGGUUGGCACGGAA